rnacentral:rRNA from 1 species
GCGGACGCUGGCGGCAGGCUUAACACAUGCAAGUCGAACGGGCACUUUCGGGUGUCAGUGGCAGACGGGUGAGUAACACGUGGGAACGUACCCUUCGGUUCGGAAUAACUCAGGGAAACUUGAGCUAAUACCGGAUACGCCCUUUUGGGGAAAGGUUUACUGCCGAAGGAUCGGCCCGCGUCUGAUUAGCUUGUUGGUGGGGUAACGGCCUACCAAGGCGACGAUCAGUAGCUGGUCUGAGAGGAUGAUCAGCCACACUGGGACUGAGACACGGCCCAGACUCCUACGGGAGGCAGCAGUGGGGAAUAUUGGACAAUGGGCGCAAGCCUGAUCCAGCCAUGCCGCGUGAGUGAUGAAGGCCUUAGGGUUGUAAAGCUCUUUUGUCCGGGACGAUAAUGACGGUACCGGAAGAAUAAGCCCCGGCUAACUUCGU